AUCGUACAACUAUUAGCAAUUGUUCUGCUUACAUCAACACUUUGGUUAUGACAAAGUCAAGAUACAUAGAAAGAAUGGUACACCGACUUUUGACAUUUGUAAUGAAAACAGUUUACUCAAUUUUAGGGUCCAGAUGAAAUCUCACCUAGAUGGCGCCAGCGUAACGGGGGACUGUCAGUGUUGACAUUUGUCAAGUAUGGGUGCUGUCAUCGCUGUCAUGCUGUGUUGGUCGUUAAAAAAUAACGUGUUGAUUAUGUUAUUUUUGUGAUUUUUUAAAGUUAUAUCUGGUUUCGUCGUGAUUGUUGCGUAAGAUUUUGAAUGAAAAUUACCCGAACAGUGAAUGUUUGACGAAGAAUAACGCAAAAGUUGUGCGAUUAGUGGGGUUGUUUUUAUCUUACGCCAGUCUGUUUCCAAGAAACGCUGAAAAUUGUUUACUUUGGUACUGAAGUUAUUUUUAAUCUAAGAAAUAAAACAACGGUGUUCUGGGAUAACUGAAAUCGUUCCUCAUGCAUAUUUUAACGUUAAAUUCAAUUUUAAAACAUGAAUUACCAAACAGAUAACUAAAUGUCGAAGAAAAUCAAAGAGAAAACAAGAAAUAAGAAAGUAAAACAAAACUAAAUUAAUAAAUCUGGUUGAAAAAAGAGUUCCGCCAAUCACAGCUUCUACUUGUUCUAGAAGUGUUAGCAGUUCUGAAGAUGGAAAUAUUAAAUGCCCUCUACUCUUUAAGGCGAUGAACGUAUUAAAAUUUUCCACGCCGUUUCCGAUGAUGGUGUUUUUGCAGUCUUGACAUGCUUCAGACUUAUAUUUUCGGGCAAGGAACCCACAGACGUAAGCGAACGCUUCUUCGUUGUCCUUGAAAUUGAUCUCUCUUCCAGCUGAGAUGUCUUCAUCUAGAAUUCGAUCCAACUGAAGGUCAAUUUCUUGCUUUGUAUUCGAUAAACUCUCUGAUGAAAUGCAGUUUAGGAUAUUUUGCUUAUCAUUUACAAGAACUUCAAGCAUAUUGCCACCAGUAACAUUACUACCUUUAGGUGGCUUUACCAAUGAAUAUAAAGACAUCAGUCUAAAGAUCUGGGCGAUUUGAACUGAUUCAGCACAGUUAUUUGAGCCACCACAAUCACGUAGAAGUCCAAAAAAAUGUUCUAAUGGAUCCUGGUUAAUCCGUGACGUCAUUAAAUAAGUGAAAUUUAAGGUUUCAGUGCAAUAUUUUAGUAAGUCGAGGGUUGUGUUUAUUGUGGCCCUCAAACCAUCUGCAGUAUUUUUAGUCAAAAAAUGUUCUUGGUCAGCACACGAUUCCCACAAAUCUAAGUAUAUUAAGAAGUCUUCUAACUCCUCAUACUGUGGUGACUGUAAUCGCAGCGCACUAAAACCAUUACUCGAAUUCAAGAUGUCAGACAGCUUGUUGAUGCGUCUACAAAACUCUAUUGUAGCUUGACAAUCGAGAAAUCCAGGUAUAUUUUUACUGUUUAACAUUGACAGAGCAUCAGCAACGGUACCACUGAAUAACUGAAAGGCAUAGCGCGUAGUCAUUUUUUCAUGGUUUUGUGGAUCAACAUGUUUCAGUGUUAAUUUGGGUGCCAAUUUAAAUUCAAAUUGAGCGUCAUAUUCAAUUAACCUUUGAAAAUGAACCAGCUGAACAUGACCUGUGGGCACGUGGAAUUCUUUUUUGGCAACAAGUCUAUUCCUUAAGCACUUUAGCAAAUGUGGAAAGUCUGAACACAUCCUCAAUUUUCUAACAUCAUUGCAGGGAUGGAUAACCCAUGGAGCCUGUGGAUUACCUGCACCCAAAUGCUUCCACAUUGAUCUAUUCCAUGUCGCUCCAUCAGAUGUCACCACAUCAAUAAAGAGUCCAGCUGCUUCACAAAGAACUAUUGCUUCCAAAAUUAGUUUUGCCUGAGUACUUCCACAUACAUUUCCUUUUGACAGGAAGCAACCGACUGCCUGCAUAUUUUUUCCGGCAAAGGAUUGAAACAUUAUGACUAAAACAUGGUCACCUAAUUGGUCUCUUUGAGAUAUUGGAGUGUAAUCACCCAAAUCAACAAAACCUAAUACUUCCAAGCGAUUUUUGUCAAAAUGUUUGCUGGGUGUUAUCUUACAUUCAUCUACCAUUAAAGUACCAUGACGUUCAUAUUCAGGCAUAGAGUGACACUUUACUUUUAGUAAUUCAAAUAACUUUGUUUGAAAUCCGUAGCUGCUGUCAAUGUUUUUUAUGUAUCUAGAUAUUGUGCUUGGUGCAGGUAGUGGAAGUAACUCUCUGUUCCGUAAAUGGCGAUAUAGCUUUGGACUUUUUAUUCUUAUCAGAAUACAAGAAUAUAUCCAGUCUUUGGUGUAUCUUUUCCCAUUAGUUUUUUGUGUUGCUGUAUUCAAACAUGUUUGUACUACCAAUCUUUGAUUUUCAGGUAGUUUAGAUAAUACCUCGCCCAUGUUGUUUAUUUUUGCCAUCCUUUUGUGCAAACUUUCUAUUACAUUUGUUUUAUCAUGUAGUUGUCUUUUCAAAUGUACGUAGUUCUUUUUCAUUUUUCUUUGCUUGUUCGCAAACUUUUGGCUAUGGCCACUGAACGAAAAAUUUUUUUUUAACAAAUUUUUGCGAAACAGUGCGCAAGAUAAACAGCGUCUAGUGUUGUUUCUUGUAUUCUCCCCAUUACAGUUUUGGCUAGUUUUGUUUCCUAUUCCAGUACCGUGACACAAAGUUACUGCAUCCACUUUUUUGACCAGAUCAAGAACAUCUUGAAAGUUCGUGAAUGUGGUAUCGAUCAUGCGGCAAAUAUUAUUCAAAUAUAUUUUUGAAAUUUCUCCUUCAAUAACGAUGGCUUUGUCUAUUCUUGGGACGUCAGUUGUUACGUGGCUUAUAAUAAUUUUAUCUGGCAGUUGAUGAAUACCCCAUGUGAGAGGCAACAAUUCACAAAUUUCUGAAUAAUUGUUUCUCAACAUACUGAGGGUAUCCGAGGAUAAAGUUUUGAUUGGGGAGGAACGUGAUAUAGGGUUUCUCUGUGUGGAUGUAUCGUUUUCAGGAUCUGCAUUACUGAAAAAAAGAUGCGCGUUUUUAUUUAUUCACAUACGUAUAUGUAUUUCAACGAACUCAUUGUAAAUUUUAAAUAUUGACGAAUAUUAUGUAAAAAUCAUCAAGAAUGGCAAAGAUGUCUCCUUUAGUGUAGCGUAACUAAAGUAAUUUUCCACUUUUUGGACAUGACUCAACCAAAUGGUAAGUCAUGAAAAGUGAGGCUGUUUAGAAAUACAUACCUAUAUAUCGAUAGCAUUUCAACUGGAUGGGUUUUAUUGCUCCUAGGAUAUUGUUUAAUAGGAUGGGUACUCUGGUAGGAAAUGUCAUUUUUGGUAUUGGUAUAACCGAAGUUUACAACUGGAUCAUCCGGUGUGGAAUUUCUUCAAAUAAUAUGAACGGCAGGCUAUUAGGAUAAAUCAGGAUAUUUUAUACAUACAUAUUUCCUUGUAGUGGUGGAAAUGGAUAGGUUUGUUCCUUUUUGGGGCAUUUAGGAAAAGGAUGUGUGGAAACACAGGAAUUUCCAGUGCUUGCACAACCUAAAUUUAUAGUCGGUAUAGCAUCAGGAGUUAAUGUUCUUCGAACAACAUGUUCAUGAUCAUAGUGUAUUCUUAUAUAUUUGUUUUCAAAAUGCUGCAUACAAAUAUAUGUCUUGGGAAUAAAUAAAAACCCGGCAGCUUCA